AUAUUUCUAGCUUUCAUUUAAAUAUCAGUAUAAAUAUAAAAGUUACUUUGAGCCCGUAAUUAUGCACACCACUGCACUUCCAAAGCAUCGCAAGGAUCAUCGUCAAACGCAACAAGACUCUAUUAGCUCCCAGUUCCUCAGCAAUCCGAAGUUUCGCGACUUCAGGCAACAUAGUAGGAUUUUGCUGAACGUCGCCAGCGUCCGAUCGAGAAGCAAAAGUGACGAGGACGUAUCCUCGGGGCCUUCGAUAGCCAACGGGCUGAAAAUCGGAGCGAAUCUGUCCUCGCGUGGUCGAUGCAUCGCGUCAGCCUGGAAACGUCACGUGUCCCGUCGGUUCGUUGCGCAACGCCGCUUCGCGAAUUCUUCCGAGUGACUCACGUGUCACGAUUAUAGGGGACAGGUUGGACGGCUUCGGUUCGGUUCGGUUCGUUUCGCGUUCCGGACGGUCGCGUUCGCUCCCCGGGGCCAUCGGCCGACGAAUUCGACCGAGUUUCUCCUCGGACCACGGCCUCGAGACAGUGUCCGAGUGCUGCCGUAAAGCGAUACCGGAAAUUGCGGCAAAGUGGUGCGAAGCCGGCGACAUGGGAGGGUGACUGGAAACCCGGCCAUCGACUUUCUUGACAGCCUCUCGAAGAUAUCCCUUCUCUCGGUUAGUUUGUUCGGCGGAUCGAGUCCUUGGUUCAACGAGCGAUCGCUUGGACCUUGUUCAAAGUUAUUUUCAACUGCAGGUUCUCCUACAGUUACAGCACACGCGAGUUUACAGAGAAGGAAUCGACCACUGUGCGACGCGCCGCCGCCGUUGGACCUCGGCGAGCGCGAGACAUCGGGUUUAAUGGAAAUUAAAUGAAUCGCAUUGUUCCCGGGAAGCACGGACUGCCAUGGUCGAGCAGCUUUUUGGAGGAGAGCCAGGAAACUUGGAGCGGUGUAAAGGAGGGGAAGAAGCGCCUAAGCGCGCGGAUGCGCUAGCAUGUUCUCCAGGCCAGUGAUUUUUAAAUGGGAACAAAGCGACGGGGCUCUGCUGUACGCGUCGUUUACCUGUGUUUUUCUGUUCCGUAACAAAUCGAUGUUGAUAAGAGAACGUUAAUGUUCCGUGAAACUCAUCGGCCCAUUAAUAUUCAAACGUAUUCGAAGCGCAGUAAUCGCGCUGCGCCAAGCGAGAAUUCUUAAUAGAAACACCGUAAAACGAGUCAACGGCAAAUGAGCGUAAUAAGUAAUGGCUUAAUGACCGGCCGGAGUUCCGCUGCGACGGCACGAAACUUUCCGCAGGAAACGGAACGAAGUUCUGCAUCGGGAGAGACAAAUAUGUAUUCUCCCGGGGCUUAGGCGGGACGUAGCUUAUUAAUAUUUAACGCGGGCUGCAGCAACAAUCGUGGCGCAACCAUCGACCUCGUGACACCUCGGUCAAAAAUGCGCUAGACAAUUUCUCGCCGCGGCGCUUUUGUUCCCGACACAAUUCAAUCAAAUGAAACAUCCCAAACAUCCCGUCAUUUAUCAAUUCGCUGCUUUUACGGGGAACAUCGAAACGGUGUAAUAAAUAAUGUAGUGCAAAAAUUGCGAACGAUGUGUUCAACAUUUUUAAAUCCGAAAAGUAGCGUUUUAGAAGUGAGAGAAUAUGUUCACGGUUUUCAAACAGUUUUUGUAAACGCGUUCACAGAGAUUUUGCUACGAUUGCGUUCAAUUUGUUUGGAAUUUUAAUAAUUAGCGGCAUUGGAAAAUGAUUAGAAUAUAUGAAAGCAUAAUGAAAAAUA